rnacentral:tRNA from 1 species
UAGCCUAGUGGUUAAGGCUAUGGAUCGCCAAUCCGGAGCAUACGGGUUCGAUUUCCGU